rnacentral:rRNA from 1 species
UACGGAGGGGGUUAGCGGUGUUCGGAAUCACUGGGCGUAAAGCGCACGUAGGCGGAAUGUUAAGUCAGAGGUGAAACCCCGGGGCUCAACCCCGGAACUGCCUUUGAUACUGGCAUUCUUGAGGUCGGGAGAGGUGAGUGGAAUUCCGAGUGUAGAGGUGAAAUUCGUAGAUAUUCGGAGGAACACCAGUGGCGAAGGCGGCUCACUGGCCCGAUACUGACGCUGAGGUGCGAAAGCGUGGGGAGCAAACAGG